rnacentral:rRNA from 1 species
AAUAUUGGACAAUGGGGGCAACCCUGAUCCAGCCAUGCCGCGUGUGUGAAGAAGGUCUUCGGAUUGUAAAGCACUUUAAGUUGGGAGGAAGGGCUGUAGGUUAAUAUCCUGUAGUUUUGACGUUACCAACAGAAUAAGCACCGGCUAACUCUGUGCCAGCAGCCGCGGAAAUACAGAGGGUGGAAGGGUUAAUCGGAAUUACUGGGGUUAAAGCGGGCGUGGGUGGUUCAGUAAGAUGGGUGUGAAAUCCCCGGGCUUAACCUGGGAACUGCUUUCAUAACUGCUGAGCUAGAGUACGGUAGAGGGUAGUGGAAUUUCCUGUGUAGCGGUGAAAUGCGUAGAUAUAGGAAGGAACACCAGUGGCGAAGGCGACUACCUGGACUGAUACUGACACUGAGGUGCGAAAGCGUGGGGAGCAAAC